CCCCCGGGUCCCGCUUGUGGCCCCCAGGAUGAGCCCGCAGUAUUUUCCUUAUAUGAUUGGGCCCUGUGGCUGGCGGCGCCGCUCGCCCGGAGCCUAAAAGGAUUAUGAGACCGCGCCUGGCGAAGUGGGGCCGGGAACCGGGG